AAAAUCGAGUUAACUCCCAACCCCAAUGUGAACGUUACCAAUCUGUUGCCUCGGCGGGAUUCUCUUGCCCCGGGCGCGUCGCAGCCCCGGAUCCCAUGGCGCCCGCCGGAGGACCAACUCCAAACUCUUUUUUCUCUCCGUCGCGGCUCCCGUCGCGGCUCUGUUUUAUUUUUGCUCUGAGCCUUUCUCGGCGACCCUAGCGGGCGUCUCGAAAAUGAAUCAAAACUUUCAACAACGGAUCUCUUGGUUCUGGCAUCGAUGAAGAACGCAGCGAAAUGCGAUAAGUAAUGUGAAUUGCAGAAUUCAGUGAAUCAUCGAAUCUUUGAACGCACAUUGCGCCCGCCAGUAUUCUGGCGGGCAUGCCUGUCCGAGCGUCAUUUCAACCCUCGAACCCCUCCGGGGGGUCGGCGUUGGGGAUCGGCCCCUCACCGGGCCGCCCCCGAAAUACAGUGGCGGUCUCGCCGCAGCCUCUCCUGCGCAGUAGUUUGCACACUCGCACCGGGAGCGCGGCGCGGCCACAGCCGUAAAACACCCCAAACUUCUGAAAUGUUGACCUCGGAUCAGGUAGGAAUACCCGCUGAACUUAAGCAUAUCAAUAAGCGGAGGAAUUCCGAGUUUCCACUCCCAACCCCAUUGUGAGGUUACAAUCUGUUGCCCGGCGGGAUUCUAUGCCCCGGGCGGUCGCACCCCGGACCCAGGGCCCGCGGAGGACAACUCGAACUCUUUUUUUGUCCAGCGUUCCGGCGGGGUUUUUUAAUUUGCUUGAACUUUUUGGACACCUAGGGGGAUCCGAAAAGAAACAAAAUUCACAAAGAAUUUUGGAUGGGC
rnacentral:rRNA from 1 species